rnacentral:lncRNA from 1 species
AUGCCUCUUCCAGAUUCCAGGCUUCCUAAGUGUUCAUGCAAGAGUGUGUUUUCAGGAACUGUUUGCCUGAAUAGUUCAUUCUCUGGACCAGUGAGAAGCUGCUUGUAUGCAAGCGAUGCUACAUAUAUGAUUUCAUUUCAGCAAUACAAGAGUAUUACACACCUGCCUAAGUGCUGGAAUAGAAAUUUUACAACAGAACUUCAGCGAAAACGUCAGAGCUUGUAGCACGUUCCAGAGUCACCGCAGCUUAACAGAGGCUUUAUGAGAGUUACCUGGAUCAUUAGAUGUCCCCGUUCACUUAUAUUUCUAGAACUCACCGAUGAGCAUUUGAAAGAGUAAUUAAUUUCAACUUAUACCUGAGUACUGCGUGUAAGGUGUUCUGGCUAUCACUCAUACUACAUUUUAUCGUAUCGUGAGUAAACAAUAUUUACAGAAACCAGCUAAAGUCAACUAAUAUCAUUCUGUAAACUUACAAAAUAUUUGUAAAAGGAUUAUUGAGUAUCUAAUGAUACAAAGAAACAGGCUGAACUGCAGGCUUUUUUAUUUUAUUCUUGUUGCAAUAGGAUUUUUUAAUCAUGGUAUGUAAGUGAAACUAAAAAAAUGCUGCAAUGAAUUAUUACAGUACUUCCAUGUUUCUUCUCUUUAGCUGUAACAAUUGGCAAUUGUCAUAAUGCCAAAUGCAAACUAAUUAUUCGUGGGAAAAGUGAGCCGAAGCGAAAUCAGUGGGCUUGAUAAUGGAAGCUGCUACCAUGUUUGAGUUUGGUUCACUUUCAGUAACAUUAUGUGUAUUUAUAGGUGCAUGUAUAUAACAUGACAAUCCAUUUACUGCAGUGCUUUAGCGGGCAUUUUCUGAAGUAAGGAUCCGAUCAAGGUCAGCAACAGCAUUAAUCCAGUGUAAGACCGGUCAUAAGCAACCACAGAAUAUACGUUACACUGAGUUUCAGUGUUAAGUAGGUUAGUAUUCGGCGGGGGCGGUUUUAACCUUGAACUUAACUCCUCUGGAAUGGCUGAUGCCCUGCGUGACUGCGCCUUGUGCUGCAAAGG